CAGUAGCCGCGGUAAUACAGAGGGUGCAAGCGUUAAUCGGAAUUACUGGGCGUAAAGCGCGCGUAGGUGGUUUGUUAAGUUGGAUGUGAAAUCCCCGGGCUCAACCUGGGAACUGCAUCCAAAACUGGCAAGCUAGAGUAUGGUAGAGGGUGGUGGAAUUUCCUGUGUAGCGGUGAAAUGCGUAGAUAUAGGAAGGAACACCAGUGGCGAAGGCGACCACCUGGACUGAUACUGACACUGAGGUGCGAAAGCGUGGGGAGCAAACAGGAUUAGAUACCCGUGUAGUCCCUGUCUCUUAUAU
rnacentral:rRNA from 1 species